GGCCUCGUGGCCCAAUGGCAAGGCGUCUGACUACGAUUGCGGCCAUCACAUCACGUGAGGGUCACGUGAUUUAUCAGGAGAUUGCAGGUUCGACCCCUGCCGGGGUCA